AAAAAAGUUGUGGAAGCAGCACUCACAUCUUUAAAGGAAUAGUUUUGAGAAAUACAUCGCUCACUCUCUGGCAGUGGCAGCUAGCAGUCUGUUAGUUUAGCUUAGCAUAAAGACUGAAAACAGGAAAACAGCUAGUUUUAAAUUAUAAGCCACUGUUUUAUGAGGGUUACAAGCUAAAUUACUUCUUGGCCAAGCACAAAAACUACUUUUCUCUCCAUCAUCGCUUGUUGCCUACUCACAGCCAAGAAAUAAUUUAGCGUUGAGCAGGUGAACUGUCAUUUUUUUCACCUUGAUUGAUUUUUGUAUAAACUAAACAUACAGAAAAAUAACAUAUUAAUUCCUGAACUUUAGAGGUACUGUUUUGUCACUGUUGAACUGAGCCAGGCUAGUUGUUUCCCUUUGCUUUCAGUCUUUGUGCUAAGCUAAGCUAACCAGCCACUGACUACAGCCUCAUAUUUAACAGCUGUGUGAGUGGUGAGUGGUAUUGAUCAUGAUGUACUGACUUUUAACUACUUUGAAGUCUAUAUACAGUUUGGUAGUUUGGUCCAAUGUUUCCCAAAGGUCACACGAUAAAUCUGAGGGGUUGUGGGAUGAUUAAUGAGAGAGGAAAGAAGAAUAAACAAGUUCAGUGACAUAAAAUAAUUUAGAAAAUUAAAUAUUGGAUGAUUUUACCUCUUUGGACCUCAAACACGGGUUUAAAUGAAACCAGCAGCAAAGUUUUUGAGAGCGGAAAUAUUUCUUUGGCAGAACAGCAAACAGCUAAUCUGAAAUGUGACAAAGAGCCCAAACUAGACACGGAAAUCCUUAAUAGCCUACACUGUAUUUUAUUGACUUAUUUUAUGUUGUUUUUUCAUGUGAGAUCUUUAUCUGAAAAGAAAGUAGUGACUACAUCCCUUAAAUACAUGUAGCAGUGUAAAAAAUAGAAUAUUUUUAAGUAACAUAAAAUAGAAAUAUUCACAUGAAAUACAUUUACUUACUGUAAAUGCAUGCAUUUAUUUUCAACCAACUGCAAGACAACAAUUACGAUACAACAACGAGGUCACAGGAAGCACCUCUGCUUUCCCUCACACCUCGGUCUUGAGACUCUUUCCUUCUGGUUUUCAGGGGGUGUCUCUGUCGUGGUUGUGGUCACUGCUGUUGUCUCUGAGCAGAGGUGUGGACGAGGGUGGGGAAUGUUUUCCCAGGUCCCACAGGAAAACUGUCAGGAAACAUUACACGAGGCCCCAAAGUGCUUGGUUGGAGCCAGAGAGCUUGGAGUCAGCCCCCCGAACACCUCCAGGAACUCCCUCUGUAACCAGCAUCUCCUCAUGGGCCUGUGCGGCUGCUGCGAUACAGUUUGUGGAUGAAAUAGCGGUGUUAUUGUCUCAAAGUUUCCUGGACCUGUUCAAGUGAAUUCCCCGGUCUCAUCAGCAUGCGGCGUACAGUCACUGUCUGUUUUGGAGCCAAACUCAGCCCAAGAAGUUCCUCUAAAAACUAAACCGAAGACACAAGAAGAUGAAACCAUGAGUCAUGUGAAAAUUACAGGUCUUCGUAGGUGCUGAAGAUUAAAACUCAAAAGAGAGACUUUUCUUUACCCUCACUGGUACGACCUUAGCUUUAAAUUUACUGGAUUUACUUUACUAAGAAAAAGAAGAAGUGCUGUCAGAUGCACUCUAGUAAUCAUACCAUCAACCACAUGGAAAAAAAAAAAGAAGAUGACGCAGCAGCCAAGAAACCAGAGUGACUAGAGCGACGUGUAAACAAAAACUUCCUCCUUUCCAAAAAACCUGCAUAUGUUGCUCACUUAUAGCAGUUUAUCAACUCGAUAUUACAACUUACGGAGAGUCUCCUUUCAUAAUCAUCAUUCGUAUGUCACCAUCCCCCUCAAAAAAAUUUAUUUCAGCGUGUAGUGUGUGUGGGACAUCAUCACAGGAGAUGACUCAGUUCUACCUUCUUGGAUUUAGAGUGAAAGACUUUGAGGUGGAGUGCAUGUGGGCAAAAGUGAGAAUAUAUUCAACAGCAUCAGAUAAAAGCACCUGCCUGUACAAUAGAACCACACACUACAGUAUAUACAUAAAAUAUAUGUAUAUAUAUAGUUUAGUCAAGGCUGGAUCACCAGUCAGGGGUCAAGUGUGUCAACUAAUUAACACAUAAAACCUUUGGCAAGUUCAGAUUAUUCCAUUGUAGAAGAACUGUACGGCUGCAACCAACAGUUAUUUUAAUUAUCACUACAUCUGACAAUUAUUUUCUUGCUCGGUGAAUAAAAAUGUCAGAAAAUAGUGAAAAAAUUACAAUUAUCACUCCCUG